UACAGAGGGCAAGCGUUAUUCGGAAUUAUUGGGCGUAAAGGCGCGUAGGCGGCCAUUCAAGUGACGGGUGAAAGCCCUCGGCUUAACCGAGGAACUGCCUGUCAGACUGGAUGGCUUGAGACCGGGGAGAGGUGAGUGGAAUUCCCAGUGUAGCGGUGAAAUGCGUAGAUAUUGGGAGGAACACCAGUGGCGAAGGCGGCUCACUGGACCGGAACUGACGCUGAGGCG
rnacentral:rRNA from 1 species